AUUGAACGCUGGCGGCAUGCCUUACACAUGCAAGUCGAACGGUAACGCGGGGCAACCUGGCGACGAGUGGCGAACGGGUGAGUAAUGCAUCGGAACGUGCCCAGAAGUGGGGGAUAACUACUCGAAAGAGUGGCUAAUACCGCAUGAGACCUGAGGGUGAAAGCGGGGGAUCGCAAGACCUCGCGCUUUUGGAGCGGCCGAUGUCAGAUUAGGUAGUUGGUGGGGUAAAGGCCUACCAAGCCGACGAUCUGUAGCUGGUCUGAGAGGACGACCAGCCACACUGGGACUGAGACACGGCCCAGACUCCUACGGGAGGCAGCAGUGGGGAAUUUUGGACAAUGGGGGCAACCCUGAUCCAGCCAUGCCGCGUGCGGGAAGAAGGCCUUCGGGUUGUAAACCGCUUUUGUCAGGGAAGAAAUCUUCUGGGCUAAUACCCUGGGAGGAUGACGGUACCUGAAGAAUAAGCACCGGCUAACUACGUGCCAGCCGCCGCCGUAAUAC
rnacentral:rRNA from 1 species